UGGGGAAUAUUGCACAAUGGGCGCAAGCCUGAUGCAGCAACGCCGCGUGAGGGAUGACGGCCUUCGGGUUGUAAACCUCUUUUAGUAGGGAAGAAGCGAAAGUGACGGUACCUGCAGAAAAAGCACCGGCUAACUACGUGCCAGCAGCCGCGGUAAUACGUAGGGUGCGAGCGUUGUCCGGAAUUAUUGGGCGUAAAGAGCUCGUAGGCGGUCUGUCGCGUCUGCUGUGAAAACCCGAGGCUCAACCUCGGGCCUGCAGUGGGUACGGGCAGACUAGAGUGCGGUAGGGGAGAAUGGAAUUCCUGGUGUAGCGGUGGAAUGCGCAGAUAUCAGGAGGAACACCGAUGGCGAAGGCAGUUCUCUGGGCCGUAACUGACGCUGAGGAGCGAAAGCGUGGGGAGCGAACAGGAUUAGAUACCCUGGUAGUCCACGCCGUAAACGUUGGGCGCUAGAUGUGGGGACCAUUCCACGGUUUCCGUGUCGCAGCUAACGCAUUAAGCGCCCGCCUGGGGAGUACGGCCGCAAGGC
rnacentral:rRNA from 1 species